rnacentral:rRNA from 1 species
UUGACCCGUCUUGAAGCACGGACCAAGGAGUCCAACGUGCGCGCGAGUCAAUGGGAGCAAAUAGAUAAACCCAAAGGCGAAGCGAAAGCGAAGGUCGGUCGGGGGCGUGGGGCAACCCUCGCAUCCCGUCGGCCGUUGGGAGGAUGGGUCGCGCUCGUCGCGACUCCGCACUCCCGGGGCGUCUCCACCAGGCACCGUCGUCGACGUUCGCGCGUCUUCGUUCGGUGCCGGAGGCGCACCUCUAGCGCGCACGCUGGGACCCGAAAGAUGGUGAACUAUGCCUGGUCAGGACGAAGUCAGGGGAAACCCUGAUGGAGGUCCGCAGCGAUUCUGACGUGCAAAUCGAUCGUCAGAACUGGGUAUAGGGGCGAAAGACCAAUCGAACCGUCUAGUAGCUGGUUCCCUCCGAAGUUUCCCUUAGGAUAGCUGGCGCUCGCUUUGCGAGAGUCUCAUGCGGUAAAGCGAAUGAUUAGAGCGAAUCGGGGUCGAAACGACCUCAACCUAUUCUCAAACUUUAAAUGUGUGAGAUCUCCGGCUUGCCCGACACACGAAGCCGCGAGAUCGGAUCUAGAGUGCCAAGUGGGCCAUUUUUGGUAAGCAGAACUGGCGCUGUGG